GGGAAAAAAGCCCACAUACUUUGGAAUUAGAUAUAACUGGGUUCAAAUUUCAGCUUCAUCAACUAUUAUAUGUAUGUUCCUUUAUAAUGUUUUCCCUUUUCAGCUGGGCAUGGUGGCUACGCCUGUAAUUCCAGCAUUUUGGGAGGCUGAAGGAGGUGGAUCGCUUGAGAUCAGGAGUUCGAGACCAGCCUGGCCAACAUGGUGAAACCCCGUCUCUACUAAAAAUACAAAAAUUAGCCAGGUGUGAUGGUGCGCACCUGUAGUCCCAGCUACUGGGGAGGCUGAGGCAUGAGAAUUGCUUGAACCCAGGAGGCCGAAGUUGCGGUGAGUUGAGAUGGUGCCACUGCACUCCAACCUGGGCGACAGAGUGAGAACUCCACCUCAAAAAACAAAUAAACAAAAAAAAAGUUUUCCCUUUUCUGAAUAUCAGUUUCACCUUGCACAGAAUUGGAAUAGAGAUAGCAAUUUUAUACAUUUUGGGAAAUGUUUAAUGAUAUCACAGAUAUUGUGUGCCUGGUAUAGGUUUUGAUAAAUUUUAACUAUUUCUAGCCCCUUCUCUCCUCUUCCAGUUUCUCUGCAAGGGAGGUAGGGAGAAAUGAAUAUUAAAAGUCAAAUUGGUAUUCGCUGAAGUCAUUUAAUAAAUGUUUCUUGAGCAUCUACUUUGUUACAGACUAGAGAUACAAAGAUGAAUGAGUUAGUAUUCACAUCCUCAAGGAACUCAUUUUAGUAUAAUGAUUAUUAAACCAAGAAUAAUAAGAUAUGCAUAAAUAAAAAUUUCUCCUCAUAGAGCAUGAAAAUAUCAAUCCUGCACUUACCACUAUUCUCCCUUGUACCUGAAAAAAUUAUUACUUUAAUAUUCUUAGUUUUUAUAUUUUUUAAUUAUACUUUAAAUAUAUAGCUAAACAUUUAGACAAACACAACAAUCUAUAUCCAUUCAGGUUUAAUUAGUGUCAUUGAAUUUUUCAGGUUUCUUUAUUCUUCCUAGUGAUAUCAUAUUAAAUUUGCAGUUUUAAAACAAAUACUAUAAAAACAGUAUGAAAGAAGUUUAUUUUUAGGACUGUUGAAUGAUUUUUUUAAUGAACAAAUGAGAAAGAGUGUUUUCAUAUAGCAUGCGUUAAGGAAAAAAUUAUCCAUUUGAAAAAACUUUUAUUUUUAAUUUACCACUCAAUGUUCAUUAAACAGAGAAUUGUUGUGGAUCUGUGCACGGUUCAGAAAAGUGAAUAUCAAUGAAAUAUAGCACACACAACAGUUGAAUGGUCCCUAAAUUGUUAUUAC
rnacentral:lncRNA from 10 species